CUCAGAGCUUUCCCGCAACUACGGAACUAUUCUACAACGCUGAUCCUGCUUGUUUACGACCUCUCGCCUGUCUGACCACCUGCCUGUUGUCAAGUCCCUGCCGGCUUGUCUGAUUCCCAGUCUCCUGCCCCUCGCCUACCUGGCUGCCCUCCCGUUGCCGACCCCUUGCCUGCUCGCUCCUUGUCUUUCUCCGGUAAUGUUGGCUUCGAUUUCUGGUUAAUAAAACUGUUGAACCGUUCCAACACUGGUCUCGGUUUGUGCUGUUCUUGGGUCCAACCUCCCGCCCCAUUACAGUAAUAGCCCAAAUAAAAGUUUAAGGAAGCAAUGACUUCUGGGAAUUUCAAAACCGAAUCGAGUAGACUAGAUCGCGUCUGCCUGUUUUGGGUUGUUGGAAGAUGGAAGCUACACUGUGGAAGUUGGAAGCUAUACUGGGUCGUCAUCAGUGAUGGCGACAGAGAAAGAGGUCCUUAUGAACUUGGAUUCAGAUGACGUGAUAGACAGGGUUGCGGAGAAGAGCAAGGUCCUUUGUACUUCGUUACCUGCAUGACUGCCGGAAAACGAGAGAGGCCUGGAGUCAAUGCAGAGAACCAGGAACCAGAUCAGGGAGGCAUACUCCGAGAUUGAUCCUGAUGUGGCUGACAUAAUAAGGGAGGAGGAGAAUGCCAUAAUCAACAUCAGGGUGUCGUUUGAUGGUACAUGGCAGAAGAGAGGUUUCACGUCCCGCCACGGCAUUGGCGUGUGCAUUGACAUCCUCACUGGACUGGUAUUGGACUUUGAGGUGCUAUCCUCCUACUGCCAUGCCUGUACCCUGAGAGAGAGUUAUAGGCGAGAUGGUAAAAUGACACAGGAAGAGUUUCAUGGUUUUUGCACCAUUUUUAAAGUCAAAUUUAAGACUUUUUAAGACCUUUUUAAGACCAACACAUAUAUAAAUUAAGACCAAAAAAAAAAAAAUGUCUGAACAAUUAUUUGAUAGAAAAGGGAAUUUAUUGAGUCACUUAUAAGACACAACCUAAUUGAGUGAAACUUCACAUCUUUAAAAGCGUACUUGCAUACUAAGAAAUAUGGGAACCUUUUAUAUAGUUCUGAACAUGACCUAGCUUGCUGAACUUGAUUUGAUUCCACUGAAAAGGAAACCAUGUGAACAUAGCGGAUUUCUUUUAUAUUUUUAGAUAUUAUUAUUGUCUUUUAUUUAUUUGUUUCUUUUUUCCAACCCAUUUAAAUGUAUGCAAGUGAUAAAUGUGUAAAAUAAUAAAUAAUCGAAAAAAUAAAUAAAUGUCCUUUGUCAAAUAGCACAAAGGUUAACUUGGAAAGUUGGAAAAAGAAAACAUCAAACAAAUUUGAAUGGAUGACAUAACAAGAGCCUUGGUCAACAGGUCAACAGACCAAAGUCAUUCA
ensembl:lncRNA